GACGAAGAUGAAAAAGAGGUUGAACUCAGCGCGUCCAAAACCAACAACUCAUCAGAUGUAUGAUAAAUAUGGCUACUACUUAAACCAGAUGGCUGCAGAGACAACCCUCAACUGAAACAGGAAAACUGAAAAAGGGCUGACUACACUAUGAAUAUGUGUGUUAGCAGCCCCUAAAAAGGUCUAAGUACCUAGGGAGGAAAAAUAGGCAAGAUG
rnacentral:lncRNA from 1 species